UGCUAGUUAAAGCAUUUCUAAGUGAACUAAAGUUAGUGUGUAUGGUAUCCAGCAAAAUAUAUGUUUUUCUAAGUAAUAAGAGGGAACAACUAUUGAAACUGUAAUCAUCUUUUACAAUAAAUACUGUUUUUCUUGAAGGCUUUCAUACAAUGAAGUUAAAUAUCUUUUUUUUUUUUUUAAGUUUUUGGGGUUUUUUUUUUGGCUGUGCCUGUGGCAUGCGGAAGUUCCUGGGCCAGGUAUCAAACCCACACCACAGCAGUGACGUCAAAUCUUUAACCACCAGGCCACCAGGGAAUUCCUAAAUAUUUAAAUUGAAGUGUCACUCUGGACUGGUGGAGUCCUUCAACUCUACUUAAGUGUUUAUGGUAUAAUAUGAAAUAAAUUAUGUAUAAUGCAUAUGGUAUAAUAUAUAAUGUAUAAUAAAAAUAAUAUAUUCUAAAAUGUUAGUAGCUCAUAUAGUUAAUUAUAAGUUAUCAUCAUCUAAUUACUUUUAUAGAAUAACACUCUUGGAACAUUUAGAAAAUGUGUUAAUAAUAAGCCAUGACAACAGCCUACGGUAGUAGAAAUUAUAUGGAAAGUUAUCCUGUGUUGCUUAAUUUUCAUGCAGAAAAUACUACUUAAAUGGCGCCUUUCAUUAAAGGAGAAAGAAAUGUACCCCAACCGAUUUCAGGGGCCCUUAGCAUUCUGGAAUGCCAGGAGCUCUUGGCUUUGUACUACACAUCAAUGAUGGCUGACAGGUAAAUAGCUUCAUCUUUUUUUUUUUUUUCUUUUUUCUUUUUUAGGGCCUCACUGGAGGCAUAUGGAACCCAAACUAGGGGUUGAAUCAAAGCUGUAGCGGCCGGCCUACAUCAUAGCCAUAGCCACAGCCACACGGAUCAGGAUCCAAGCUGCAUCUGCAACCUACACCACAGCUCACGCAACGCUGGAUCCUUAACCCACUGAGGGAGGCCAGGGAUUGAACCCACAUCCUCAUGGAUACUAGUCGGGUUCAUUACCACUGAGCCACAAUGGGAAAUCCACGUAAAUAGCUUUGAAUAAUAUUUACCCUUUUGUAUUUUAUACAAAGAAUAAGGAUCUAAAAGUAUUGAACUUCCCAAGAUCAUUUCCUUACCAACUUUUUCUAUGAGUUAGAAAUAGAUGAGAUCCAAAGCCAAGUCCUCUUUUUAGAAAUAAUCCUCUUCCCUUUCAGAAAUAAGAGAGAGUAAAUGUUGCAGAAGCACUAUAUUCCUAGUAUCUACCCUCUAAUACUAAAACAACAGUUUACUGCAUUUUGAUGUUGCUGUUUCCUGGGGACAAAAGUGCUUCUGUGUGAGACCUGCACCAGGAUGCUCCACACCUCGUGCUUAAGGAGAGCCUCAAAUGAGUGAGCUGAACUAUUCCACUUCACCCAAACCUGUUUGCUUCAAAUCGUGGAACUGCUGACAUGAGUUGACAAAUGAACACGUUAAUGAGUUGAUCCAGUUCAGUGUACCCAAAAGGCUGUCUGUGAGAUCCAGGACCGGAAAGUUCAUCUGCAUCUCAGCCCGAUGGAGCUUGCAAUGUGGCUUGUCACAGAGUUUCCUUUAGCUUAUGUGAUUGCUCGCUCCACAUGCUGCCAUUUACAGUACACGGUAUACACUAAAGCUAUUUUUUGUCAAGACGGGCUGGGUUUUCACAGCUCUGCACAUGACAUCCAGUCACUCUUCUUGGCUCUUAAUGCUUAACAUGGUGUAGUCUUGAUUUUUGGCUGAUUGCCUCCAAUAUGUUCAAUUUUGGAUGAUUUUUAGUGUAGGUUUGUGAAAUGAUGCCCUAGAAAUGUGAAAAAUGUAUAGGUUUCCUUAAAGGGCUUGCAGACAUCAGUCUGCUUCCCUAGGCAUCAUUUUGAAACUGUGAUAGUUUCUCCAGCAUUUGUGGCGUGCCCUCAGCGGGCACUGGAGAACAUUCAGAAGGCAGAUAAAAGAAGACUGAGGAAAAACAUAAAAGGGGAUGUCUCUGGGGUGUGGAGUUAGGAGUUGAGGUGGAUAGGCACUUACUUUUCAUUAUGCAGUUUAUCUGUUGGCACUGUUUUUCUUCCUGGUUUGUGUCUCAUCUUGACAAUUAAAAAGUUUAAGAGAAAAUGAUACAUCUUCCUGAUGCUGUUGUCAUUGUUAAAACUACGUCUGUCACUCAUGUUUUUUUAGCACUGAUUUCCGUGAAUACAAAGUCCAAUGCAUACCCUGUAUCUCUUCCUGAGCUUCAACCUUGCCAAUCUCAUUUCUCAACAGUUUUACUAUUUCCACAUGGGCAUUGUGUUUUUAGAUCCCACCUUCCUUCCAUUCCCAUGGUUUCCUUCAAAUGAAGGACUACUUCUUUUUGAUACACAAAAUUUGUUAUCUGUGUAUUAUUGAUACAGUUUGGGGUUAUUUGAAUGCCCAAGAUAAUAUUCUCAACUGGAUGGCUUCUAGAAUUUACUUGAUAGAAACUGAAGUCAUUAAUCUGCCUUAUCCAGGCUACCAUGUCAGUAAAAUAAGGUAAUGGAUAACUUAAGAUGAAAUAUCAGGCAAAGAUACAAUAUGAAUGGGAACCCCCACUGAUUCAUAGCAAAUUUGAUGAUUUAAUUUUUUUAAUAUUUAAAACUAUCACAUAUGAAAAUAGUCUGCAAAAAAACCCCCAGAGAAUAGGCAUGGGGGAAAUUAAUAGUGGAUCUCUUUUUUUCCUUCAUGUUUCCAUCUUUGAUUUGUAUUUGAAUAUUUGUGAGGAAAUUGUGCAUAGGAAUUCAGUUUCUCUUUGCUUUUUCCUGAGUCAGAUGAUAUUAACAUAUGGAAAGAUAUUGAUCCAAGUAAUAAGAAGAGAUGCUAUUGUGAAUAGUGCUGCAAUGAACAUGCAUGUGUCUUUUUUAAGCAAAGUUUUGUCCGGAUAUAUGCCCAAGAGUGGGAUUGCUGGGUUAUAUGGUAGUUCUAUGUAUAGCUUUUGGACCUUUCCACAGAGAAGAAAAUCAUGGACUUGGAGAAUAGACUGUGGUUGCCGAGGGGGAGGGGAAGGGAGAGGGAGUGGGACGGAUGGGGAGCUUGGGGUUAAUAGAUACAGACUAUUCCUCUGGAAUGGAUUAGCAAUGAGAUCCUGCUGUAUAGCACUGGGAACUAUGUCUAGUCACUUAUGAUGGAGCAUGAUAAUGUGAGAAAAAAGAAUGUAUACAUGUAUGUGUAACUGGGUCACCAUGCUGUAUAGUAGAAGAAAAAAUAAUGUAUUGGGGAAAUAAAAA
rnacentral:lncRNA from 1 species